rfam:Aspergillus flavus NRRL3357 gcontig_1106287684585, whole genome shotgun sequence.
AAUCUGUCAUGGAUAACCCAGUGGGAGGUCAGCCGCUAAGACGAUAACCUUGCUUCGGUUCUCCACACCAGCGGGACCGGUGCCUGGUACGAAUCCUGGGGUCGUCGUUGUACUCGUGCGAGUAAUCCACGAUCGCUACAACGCGCUAAGCAAUGGAGAUGAUUCUUGAGGGAAGCAAUUCUGCAGAGACAUCUCCACCCUGGGGUGGCGUCGCCAGAAUACACCGACCCGUUACAGGGAAAUUGGCUACUUGGCUGGACAACUACGUCUCUCUUCUUUUU